UACGAAGGGUGCAAGCGUUAAUCGGAAUUACUGGGCGGAAAGGGCUCGUAGGCGGCUGGCUAAGUCGGAUGUGAAAUCCCCAGGCUUAACUUGGGAACUGCAUCCGAUACUGGCUGGCUUGAAUCCGGGAGAGGGAUGCAGAAUUCCAGGUGUAGCGGUGAAAUGCGUAGAUAUCUGGAGGAAUACCGGUGGCGAAGGCGGUAUCCUGGACCGGCAUUGACGCUGAUGAGCGAAAGCAUGGGGAGCGAACAGG
rnacentral:rRNA from 1 species